AUUGAACGCUGGCGGCAGGCCUAACACAUGCAAGUCGAACGAGUGGCGGACGGGUGAGUAAUGUCUGGGAAACUGCCUGAUGGAGGGGGAUAACUACUGGAAACGGUAGCUAAUACCGCAUACCAUCAGAUGUACCCAGAUGGGAUUAGCUAGUUGGUGGGGUAACGGCUCACCAAGGCGACGAUCCCUAGCUGGUCUGAGAGGAUGACAAGCCACACUGGAACGUAGACACGGUCCAGAUGCCUACGGGAGGAAGGAGGGGGGAAUAUGGGACAAGUGGCGAAAGCCUGAUGCAGCCAUGCCGCGUGGAGGAAGAAGGCCUUCGGGUUGUAAAGUACUUUCAGCGGGGAGGCGUUACCCGCAGAAGAAGCACCGGCUAACUCCGUGCCAGCAGCCGCGGUAAUAC
rnacentral:rRNA from 1 species